AUGUAGACCCUUAACUUUAAUCCCUGUUUAUUACAUUUCACUAGAUUGGCCCAUCCUCCGAGCCUGCUGAGGUCUUUGAGGACCCCGUCAUUCCGCAGGUCAGCUCAUUGCUAGCUUUUCCAUCUGCAAACUGAUAAGCAUUAGCUACCUAACUGCUGUGUCACAGAUAAAAAUAAUCAGCCAAGGGCCUUAAAAGGGUUCCAGGAUGUUCCAGCCUCCACUGUGAUCAGCCAUCCACUUCCAAAUCCCCCAAUUAUAGUCUUACCUAAGGACGGUAUGAACAACUGUCACAGGCUUUGCUGAAAACUAGGAAAACUACGCCUCAAUUCCCCGACCCAUCUCUUCAGUAGCAAGCCUCAAACUCUGCCAGAAACACGUCAAGCUCACCUGCCUAGAGUAUGCAGCCUCUACCCUCAGAGAGGAUGGACAGCCGCAGUCCAGGCAGGGUGAGAAUCCACCCUGGAUUUCCAUUAAUGCCCUGCCAUUUGCCACCUACAACCUGGAGCUGUUGUUUCCUUCCUCAGUUUCCUCCUGAAAAACGGGCCCUGGAUGAUCUCUAAGGCCCCUCCUCAUUCUAAAGUCCUAUGGAUCCAGUGAUGCAGGUUCAGAUACCAUUCUCUCCCUAGUUAGAGGCAGCAUGAAGGCCAUGCCAACACUGACCACCAGUGUGCCCCUGGAAAGUCACCUUCCUCCUCGGGGCCACAAAAGGACCUCCAAGUUCCCUGCCAGCCCUGGAUCCCAGAGAAUCACUUCACCUUCUGCCAAGUGGUAGGCCUUGAUGACUGCAAAUCCUAUGGGCCACCAGGAGUCACCUUCCCUCUCGGGGCCAGUUUCUUCAUCUGUAAAAUGGGGGUUGGACUAGGUGACCUCAAAGUUCCCUUCUGGCUCAAAAAGCCCAUGAUCCCUCCUGUUUCCCGGAUUUGCUAAUGGCUUUAGUAGUACUUGACCCUACCUCAUUUUGAAAUAAUGCAGCAGCUAGCAGCUAACCCUAACCCUAACCCUAACCUGCCUUCAGCUGAGACUGAAAAGAAUUCUGGGGACACAUGCCAGAGAGUCUUUAUUAGGGCUUUAUUGUAACUUCGUGGACAUGUCAAUUCCUGAACUAGGGUUUAGAGAGGAUAGACUGAAGACAGGAACUAACACCCCUUGGAGAGUCAAGGGACCUGGAUUCAAAUCCUACCCCCUGCUUUCUCCCCCAAGUAAUGACUUUGGAUAUAAAAUGGGGGGGGGGGGGCUGCAUGACCUCAAAGAUCUCUGCCAGCUCUAAAACCUACAAACCAACUUCUGUCUUGGAGAUUCCCCUGUGAGUGUGACAUCAAGUCACCCUCUGGGCCUCUGUCUCCUUAUAUGUAAAAUACAGACAUCAAACUAGACUUUUAGCUCUUCCUAAAUCAGGACUGGAGCAGGAUUCAGCUCAUUCAGACUGGAAAUGGCAUGCUUGGAAUGGGGUAGGGGUCACAGCUGUGGAAUGCUGUAUACAUUGUCUGAUUUCAUCAAUGUAUUGGUCAGUUGGAGAGGGGGGCGGUUCAUCUGAAGAAAAUUCUCUUGUUACAAAUGGGUCAGCACUCUAGUAGGAGAGGAGAAGGGCUAUGGGGGAAACAAAACACCAUUGACGUGUAUUUUUUUUUGUUUUGUUUUUAGUGAGGCAGUUGGGGUUAAGUGACUUGCCCAGGGUCACACAGCUGGUACAUGUUAAGUGUCUGAGGCCAGAUUUGAACUCAGGUACUCCUGACUCCAAGGCCAGUGCUCUAUCCACUGCGCCAUCUAGCUGCCCCUGACAUGUAUUUUUUAAAUAGAAAAUGGCAUAUUUACAUUGGAAGUCCCAUCACAUCCCAUGCCAUCUACAGGAGACACUCAUUUCCCCACCACAUUCACCAUUAUUACUCUUCCUUCCCCCAGGUCUUGAGGCUCUUGUGUGCCCCCCAAAGUCUUUCUUGUUUUAAUACUCCCCAGAACUCGAGAAAACUGAAUUCCCAUCUUGGCUUUGACUUUAAGGCAACAGAGGACUUCAGAGGUUUGCUGUCUGUGAAAUCUCCAGAGCAGCCAAGACAUGAAUGACCAGGGCACCACACAGUUCUGUCCUGAGCCACUUCCUGGGGUGUCCAUGGGUGCCUGCUGUGUGCUUGUGAGGAUGGAUGGUUGAAAUCAACAUGGAAAAGACCCAUUGUGUGCAUACACACAAAAAGAGCCCGAAACAGGAAAACUCAUGCCUACUUCGGGUAUCGACUCCCUGCUUCAAUAUUUAUGGGGAGGAGAAAAGACAAGAGGCAGGUCCCAGCAGAACUGAGCAGACCACUUACCCAGACCUCCUCCCCCCAACCAGCCCAGGCGUGUUCGUGGAUCAAGG